CAGCAGCCGCGGGAAAACGAAGGGGGCUAGCGUUACUCGGAAUUACUGGGCGUAAAGGGCGCGUAGGCGGCAUAGUCAGUCAGGCGUGAAAUUCCCGGGCUUAACCUGGGGGCUGCGCUUGAUACGGCUAAGCUAGAGGACGGAAGAGGGUCGUGGAAUUCCCAGUGUAGAGGUGAAAUUCGUAGAUAUUGGGAAGAACACCGGUGGCGAAGGCGGCGACCUGGUCCGUUACUGACGCUGAGGCGCGAAAGCGUGGGGAGCAAACAGGAUUAGAUACCCCCGUAGUCCCUGUCUCUUAUAC
rnacentral:rRNA from 1 species